UGAAACGAAGUGAGACAAGAAACGUGUUUGGUAACUCCACUCAGUUUCCCUUCACCCUCUCGUUUAGAGAAGUGAGGAAGAUGAUGGGGAGGGAUGUUGCCGGCCGCAUCAGGAUCUAAGGUCUGCAGCACGAUUGGCAUCCUCUGUCUGAAUUUUAAUCUUACAGGGCUUUUGAGGAUUAUGGAAGUCAGACCAAUCACAACCAAUCUCCAUGAAGGUAUGAGUUCAUGGGAAGGGGAGCUGCUCCACACAUGGAAAUACAGAGCAGACACUGAAGCACUCUCCACACCAAAGCAGUUCACAACUCCGUCAGUGGAAGAACACCGGACAGAUCCACCCACUCCUCUGCCACUGUUCAUGUCUUGUUCUAACUACUGAUAUUUGUCUGUUCAUGUCUUGUUCUAACUACUGAUAUUUGUCUGUUCAUGUCUUGUUCUAACUACUGAUAUUUGUCUGUUCAUGUCUUGUUCUAACUACUGAUAUUUAAUCUGAUGUUCCAGUCCUUCCCUAAUUCACUAAAUUCUAAGAGGCAUAAAUACUUAGCAAAAACAUUAAAGUUCAGAUUUCUUACCACCCAGCAAUGGCACUGUACUAGCAGUGAGGAAGAUGAUGGGGAGGGAUGUUGCCGGCCGCAUCAGGAUCUAAGGUCUGCAGCAGGAUUGGCAUCCUCUGCCUGAAUUUCAAUCUCAGAAGGUUUUUGAGAAUUCCUGUCAUCAUUAGCUCAGCCCCGCAGGUCAAAGAUUCUCUCUCACUCGGGCUGUGUACCCAUUCCCUACCUGCUGUGCAAUCGUCCGCCCUGAGGAGUAGGUACAUCACACACACUUACACCUUCACCUUUGAUAGCUGUUUGCUUUCUUCCCAUCUCUUCAGGGCGCACAGCCUGUUCUUACUGAGCACUCUAACCGAAGCACUCUUAAAUCAUAAUGAGCCCCCCAAUACCUAGCUUAACACUGUUAACAAUACCUACAUUUACACUGACAAUUAUAGAUUAGAUCACUCAGACGCUGAGUUGGAAUAUUGUGCGCUGCAGAUCCCACUGUGGGGUCAUAUGUUACAAAGAUGCCAUAGCAUUCGAAAGCAGCCAUUUUGAAACCUGCUUAUUUGUCAAGAAAGUGUGAAAGUGUAAUCAAUCUUUUAUGGAGGGUGUUGUGUAAGGUGCAAAAAAUCCCCACUAGGCUCAGGGAUCAACAUAUUAAAGGAAGCGAAUUCCUUAAUAAACCUGAUUUUUGGGACAAGGCACAUAAGCAGCCAUUCAUUUGAGUAGAAGUAUACAGUGGAAACUGAAUCUGAAAUCCUGUAUUUGUGAAUCUCUCUCUCUCUCAGACCUCAAAAGCACCUCAAGAAAUCUAAGAAUAGAUCCUCUCAUUGAUUUCUUGAGGGAAAAAACUCACAGCAGGAUGAGCGUUCAAUCUACUUUACAUCGUAAGAGGGAAAAAGGGGAAAAAAUCUCAUUAAGAUGAAGUGAUGCAGAACUAAAGGAUAAAACCAUUUGUUUUUAUAAUGGCCUUUUUUUUCUGAAGGAACUAGAGCUUGUAUGUAGGUAUAUAAAUAUGCAUGUGGUACAAAACACCCCUUUACUGCAUAAUUCGUCCUUCGUCCCCAGGGAGGAAGAGUGUCAAACAUCUGGAGAAUGACUAGAGUUAAAACAGGAUUUUAAUACCGACUCCAAAAAUGUAUGCAAGGACUAAACUUUAAUAUUCCUUUUCAAAAGCAGUGGCAAUAUUAUAAUGUAGCACUGUGGCCCAGUAACCAUAUCAAGCUUAGUGAGUUAUUGAAUGACCUGUCCGACCUUCACUGACCCACAGUUUCUAACUGCCCACAGCACACAGUUCCUGCCAACAAGCCAAACAACUCCAUGUUGCUGUGGGUGAUCUAUUGUAAGAGUGAGCUCCCUCUAGCAGUCAGAUUGUACAUUUAAAAGAAAUGUUACUGAAAAACAUUCCACUUAGGAUGCAUACUCCAAUGAAGACAAACAUGAACAUAAACACACAAACAAACAGAAUGUAUGGUGUGUAUGUAAACAGGAGGAGUUUUUACUUUUUUUAUGAAAGCACUGAUUCACAAAGAUUGUGACUCAGCAUUGGUUCAUAAAGUUGUGGAUCUGUAUUCCACUGGAAUCUCAGUGAAUCGACCUAUUCUCUCUGUUCUAUUACUUUUUUUGAUUAUUUUUAGUAAGUAUAUUUAGUAAGUAUUAGGUAUAAGCUGUAGAUUCAAACAGCAAAAAAUCUAGUGAGAUGGCACACACACAUACACGCAUAACCUAAUGCACCUCUCUAAAGAAAUCUAUCAUUUCAAUAGGAAAUGUGCAUAUAACACAAACAGCAAUAGCCAUCAAGCCACAGCUGCUAUGAAGACACCCCAGUCCAACACUAGUGUACCUGUGCCGGAAUCUUUUUCUGCUUUCACCCAUGUGCUGAACUAUAGCUCCCUGUCCCUGCGUUUUGGCACAUUCAGACAUCACUGUACCCGUCUCUGUUCUCUGCAUUCUUGUCCAUGUCAGUUGAAAGGAGGCUGUUACAAAGGCCCUGCUGCUAGAGAGAACACAAAGCAACACACUGGCUACAGCUCUGCUUACACAGUUUUAAUCAAGCAAAAUAUCAGAGAAGCUCAGAACAAGAUCAGUAUUAGAGACAUUCAGGGGGAGGUUUCACACCACACAGAAGAUAAAGGUUAAGGCAAGCACUGGAUUAAUAGUUCAAAGCUAUACAAAAGGGGCAUGAUUGAAAGGCCUCGGCACUGGCAUGGUUAGUGUCGUGACAUUAAGGGUCACAUCAACCUGAUGCAUGUUAUUGUGCACAAAUAAAAAAAAACGCACAUUCCAAAAGCAUGUGGCUCAAAAAAAAGAAAACAAGGCCAAAAAGGGAGCAAAUGAAAUUAUAUUUAUAUUAAGAUACCAUGCUGGCCUUCAGCAUAUGUAGCAUUAAUGAAACUAAAAUCACAAUGAAAAUUGAAACAAAUGUAUUCUCUGCUGGCCUACUUGCAUACACAUAUUUUCCAGGAUAAAGAGGACAUAUUUGUUUUGGAUAUACAUUUCACAAUCUCACCCAGAGAAACAGUACCUUCACAUACUAAAUGUGAUUUUUACUUUUAUAUAAUUUUUUAAACUCACAAGGAAAAAUAAACAAACAAACUUAAUCCAUGUCUUUGAGGACAAGUAACCUGACACUUGAAUAAAUUUGACACGAAAGAGGAAAUUUCCACUGAUGCCCCUUUGAUAUAGGCUGCUGGAUCAGUUUUUAAGUCACAUUUUCAAGUCCUGAGUGUUCCUGAACUGAUUUGGUUUUGCUGAUUCUAUGUUCCCUCAGUACUAAUGACACUACAAAAAGAUUAAGAGUGGAAACUGGGGAGAAAAAAAAAAAA